AAGAAUUAAAUGGAUGAAAUAUGAAGUUUUAUUAAAAGAAAAUGGGGUGAAAAGAACAAAGUUUUGUCCAUCUUUAUUCAUCAUAGCUGAAAGUUAGAGAAGAGAAAGGAGAGGAGAAAGCUCUUGAGUAUUCGGUCAUUAGGAGGAGGAAAAUUGAAGGCGGUUCGUGUGUGGAUCUCGUCAGCAUAUCGUCACAAACAGGUAAUCCCCAACCAUAGUGGGCUUGAAGCUGUGAGGGAAUUCGGAGUGGCCACCCGUUCUGAAAGUUUGAUUUUCUUCUGGUGAACUGGACAUCCUUUUAAUUACGUUUGAGGUUUUGGGUUUUUAAAUGUAAUAAGGCCGCUUAUUUAUUUUUGAUGGUUUUUAAUAUGUAUUACUAAGAUAGGUAAUACUUAUUUUAACUGUUGAAA